rnacentral:rRNA from 1 species
UAUCGUAUGGCGGACCCCUGAGAGAGGUGAUUCGCACACCUGGAAGCUAGGAACCGGUUCAGAUCCUAACCGGGAGGGCAGGCAGUAAGGAUCUUCCGCCAAUGGGCGAAGCCUGACGAGCACGCCCGGCGUGGAGUGAUGAAGUCUCGAUCGUAAAACUCUGUUAUUCAGGGAAGAACAAAAUGUGUAAGUAACUGUGCACAUCUGACGGUACCUGAUCAGAAAGCCACGGCUAACUACGUGCCAGCAGCCGCGGUAAUACGUAGGUGGCAAGCGUAUCCCGGAAUUAUUGGGCGUAAAGCGCGCGUAGGCGGUUUUUUAAGUCUGAUGUGAAAGCCCACGGCUCAACCGUGGAGGGUCAUUGGAAACUGGAAAACUUGAGUGCAGAAGAGGAAAGUGGAAUUCCAUGUGUAGCGGUGAAAUGCGCAGAGAUAUGGAGGAACACCAGUGGCGAAGGCGACUUUCUGGUCUGUAACUGACGCUGAUGUGCGAAAGCGUGGGGAUCAAACAGGAUUAGAUACCCUGGUAGUCCACGCCGUAAACGAUGAGUGCUAAGUGUUAGGGGGUUUCCGCCCCUUAGUGCUGCAGCUAACGCAUUAAGCACUCCGCCUGGGGAGUACGACCGCAAGGUUGAAACUCAAAGGAAUUGACGGGGACCCGCACAAGCGGUGGAGCAUGUGGUUUAAUUCGAAGCAACGCGAAGAACCUUACCAAAUCUUGACAUCCUUUGACCGCUCUAGAGAUAGAGUCUUCCCCUUCGGGGGACAAAGUGACAGGUGGUGCAUGGUUGUCGUCAGCUCGUGUCGUGAGAUGUUGGGUUAAGUCCCGCAACGAGCGCAACCCUUAAGCUUAGUUGCCAUCAUUAAGUUGGGCACUCUAAGUUGACUGCCGGUGACAAACCGGAGGAAGGUGGGGAUGACGUCAAAUCAUCAUGCCCCUUAUGAUUUGGGCUACACACGUGCUACAAUGGACAAUACAAAGGGCAGCUAAACCGCGAGGUCAAGCAAAUCCCAUAAAGUUGUUCUCAGUUCGGAUUGUAGUCUGCAACUCGACUACAUGAAGCUGGAAUCGCUAGUAAUCGUAGAUCAGCAUGCUACGGUGAAUACGUUCCCGGGUCUUGUACACACCGCCCGUCACACCACGAGAGUUUGUAACACCCGAAGCCGGUGGAGUAACCAUUUAUGGAGCUAGCCGUCGAAGGUGGGACAAAUGAUUGGGGUGAAGUCGUAACAAGUAGCCGAAGGG